GCGCGGGUGUCACUGAGCGGCGAGGCGCCGGCGCCCCCGAGCCGCGUCAGCCGGUCGCCCCCGCGGUCUGCGGGUCCGCGCCGCGCGCCGCCGGAGGAGCGUCUCCCGGCUGCGCACCUGCCCGGCGCCCCCGGCGCCCUGGGACCGCCGCCGCCGCCGGGCCCGGGCGCCUCGCCGGGAGGGAGGGCCGCCGGGCGGGCCGGGCCGGCGCGGCGAUGAUGCACAGGUUCCGAAAGUGGCUGUACAAACCCAAGAGGUCGGACCCGCAGCUGCUGGCCCAGUUCUACUAUGCGGACGAGGAGCUGAACCAGGUGGCGGCCGAGCUGGACAGCCUGGACGGGCGGAAGGACCCCCAGCGGUGCACCCUGCUCGUCAGCCAGUUCCGCUCCUGCCAAGACAACGUGCUGAACAUCAUCGACCAGAUCAUGGACGCCUGCAUCCCCCAGGACCGCGCCCCCCGGGACUUCUGCGUCAAGUUCCCCGAGGAGAUCCGGCACGACAGCCUGGCCGGCCAGCUGUGGUUCGGCGCCGAGUGCCUGGCCGCCGGCUCCAUCAUCAUGAACCGGGAGCUGGAGAGCAUGGCCAUGCGGCCGCUGGCCAAGGAGCUGACCCGCAGCCUGGAGGACGUGCGGGGCGCCCUGCGCGACCAGGCGCUGCGGGACCUCAGCACCUACACAGAGAAGAUGCGGGACGCCCUGCGGCACUUCGACGUGCUGUUCGCCGAGUUCGAGCUCAGCUACGUGUCGGCCAUGGUGCCCGUGAAGUCGCCCCGGGAGUACUACGUGCAGCAGGAGGUCACCGUGCUGUUCUGCGAGACGGUGGAGCGGGCCCUGGACUGCGGGUACCUGACCCAGGACAUGAUUGACGACUACGAGCCCGCCCUCAUGUUCACCAUCCCCAGGCUGGCCAUCGUGUGCGGCCUCGUAGUGUAUGCGGACGGACCGCUGAACCUGGACCGCAAGGCGGAGGACAUGUCCGAGCUGUUCCGGCCCUUCCACACGCUGCUGCGGAAGAUCAGGGAUUUGCUGCAGACCCUGACGGAGGACGAGCUGCACACGCUGGAGCGCAACCUCUGCAUCUCCCACGACGUGGAGUUCCCCCUCCGCACGGACGCCCCGGGGCCCCCGGCCCUGGCGCCCGCCUUCCCCGCGCCCGUCCCGCCCGAGGAGCUGCUGCCGGCCAAGGCCAAGGAUCUGGAGGCCGAGCUGGCCUGCUCUAUGCAGUACGACGACCAGGAGCUGGAGCAGCUGAGCCGCAUGGUGCACCGGGCGGGGGACGCCAUGUCCUCGCUGCUGUCCCCGCCCAGCGCCUGCCAGUCCCCCGCUCGCCGGCCGGGCAGCACGGGCGGCGAGGGCAGCCCCCGGGUGGAGGCCUCCCCCGGCCGCAGGCUGCGGCCCUCGGGCAGUGACGAGGAGGAGGGCAGGGUGUUCUUCAUGGACGACGUGGAGGGGGCCCCGGAGGCCCCGGGCAGCCCCUCCGUGUGGCCGGGCGGCCCCCGCGCCGCCCCCCAGGGGCCGGAGCAGGGCGGGGAGGCCGGGGCCCGCGUGCCCGCCGCCCCGAAGGACAAGGGAGACGUGAGCAAUAACAACAACGCUCCGGACGGGGACCGGGCGUGGGCGGCCGGCCCCAACUCCUGCAGCUGCCUGGACGGCCCGCCGCCCCCCGACGGCUGGGAGGCCGCGGCGGACGACGCGGAGACCGCCGAGAUGAUCGCCCACCGGACGGGGGGCAUGAAGCUCUCGGCCACGGUCAUCUUCAACCCCAAGUCGCCCGCCUCCCCAGACGGUGGCGUCCCUGCCCCGGAAGCGCCCGGAACCGGGGCCUCCCCGUCGGAGACCGCGGCCGAGGGCACGGAGGGCAGCCCCCACACACUCAGCACCGCCACGGCCACCAGCUGCCUCCUCCAUUCCUGCGUGUGCUGCGCCGGCUGCAGGAGCGGCGGGGAGGAGGCCACCGAGAGCCUGCCAGACAAGGGCAGCCCGGGCGUCCUCGGCACCUCCUACGUGGGCUUGGGCUCGGGCGUGGCCAAGGGCGGGGCUGAGCGGCCGGAGGAGGCCCGGCCUGCCCUGGAGGCGCUGCCCGCGGGCCCCCCGGGCCCUCUGCCCACAGAAGACACCCCCAACCAGCAGGAGCCCGGAGCUCCUGCUCUCAGCAAGUGCCUGGACCUCCCCUCGGGGCCCGCGGUGGAUGCAGCAGACGGCCUGCAGGGCAGUGGGGACGGCAGUCAGCAGGAGCCCGAGGCCGGACAGCUGGACGGUGGGCAGCUGGGCGGUGGACAGCCCUCCCUGAGCCACAGCCUCUCGGGCCCCAGUUUCUCCUGGAAGUUUAAAAAUAGAAGCCACGAUGUACGUGAACCCACACACCUGCUCCCCCUCCUGUUCUAUGCAAAGGGCCUCGCCCUGCACACACGCCUCUAGCCUUGCACUCCUGGCCGAGCCCGGGAGCUGCUGUGGCAGCUUCUAGACGUGUCCCCACGGUCACUGUCGCUGCCUGGGACCCCGCCAUGUGGCUGGACCCGCGUCACACACGCCAGCCACUGGCCUUGGGGCCGCCCCCGACUGGGCGCCUGCAAGCGGUGCCUCGGAGCAGCGUCGGCAGCGUCCCUCGGGGAUAAGGCCUCUCGGGAGGUGCGAGCCCAGCCGCCUCCGCCACGCCCAGGGGCUCGGAUUUUUGUCCACAGCCUCCUGGACGGCUCCUCCUCAGGGCCCCAGCCCCGUGGCCGAGCUGAUUGGUGACAGCCAGAGGACACCUGCUCUGUCUGCAGCCCCUUCUCUCCUGCCGUGUCCCGCGUGCACACGGCUCAGGGGUUCGCACCACGCCUCAUUUCCAGCCUCAUCGGCUCAGCGCACACGUGCGCUCAUGCCGCCGAAGCUGAGCUGCGAAAAGGAAGAGAACCCCACCGAGAACCUCCAGGAUUUCCAGAAGGUGCCCGAGUCCGAGGGAGGAAGAACGUGGUAGGCGGCCGGCUGAGCAGGACAGCCCUGCGCCAGGGUCAGGACCUUGGACAGCGGGCCCGGCACUGCAUAGGGGAAGCUGGGAGUCCGGCCGGCAGGUGGCGCUGUCCCACCCACGGACGGGGAGCGAGGCUCAUUCAGACCAGGCUGACUCCUGGACACCCACCCACCCACCCACUCAGUGGCCGGGCAGGGCGCCCACCUUGGGGAACCUGAUGGAACACAGGGCGCAGGUGACAAGGCAGCAUGGGAAAGACAAGCAUGAACGAUCCAUUGGCCUUCUGUCCAGGAACUGGCAGGAAGUUCACAAAAUUCACAGGGCGAGAUGCCGGGACCUGGUUGGCAUUUGGUGAUGGCAGCGGCCGCUGGGGCGGUGCAGCUGGCCACCCCCCUGGCAGAUGGAGAGUCAGGCCGGGGAGCUGUGCCUGCAGCACAAGCCCAUUGUGCUCAUGCACCCCUUGUGGGAUCAGCGUGGCCCCAAUUUGACUCUGAGGCCCGCCUGUGAAGCAGGUGCUCCCCUGGCCCCUGCAGUGUGUGCCCGGGAAGGGAACCGCCGGCCGCCCUGCCCGCACGGGCUCCUCGGACCCGGGGCCACUUCUGGAGCCGGUGCCAUGAAGGAGACGCCCGGGAUGUUCAGCUUGCUCCAAGGGCACCACCGGAGCGUGUUCUCCCGGCCAGCCGGGGACGGCCCCGCGGAAGGCCGGCUGCCCGGGGCCUGGAGGAGGGUCUGGCUGGAGGAGACCCUCCCCGGCGUUUCGCCUGCCCGACCUGCACCCCUAGCUCCCCGCUGGCCGCUCCCACCAGCGCCGCUGCCCAGGGUCCCGGCAGUACCACCUCCAAUGUCCUCAGAGAUUCUUGCAGCUUCUUCCUCACCUUUUCAGGCUCACAGAUCAGCCUUUUUGGGAAGAGCUGCGUUUUUUUAAAACCCUGCUGUCCCUGUGUAGACUCGCCUCAUUAUCCAGAACCUUCUGUGCUCAGAGCCAGCCGGGUCCACCCCCUUUCUAGAACGGAAAUCCGUCUGUCUCGAGUGCGCCUGCCUUUCCCGGGUCGUCCUGCUACCGUGUGCUCCUGGCCUCCCGCCUUCUUCAAAAGCAACGCCGACACGCGCUCUUUCCUCAUUGUAAUGUGGUCCUGGGCAUGGUGGAACGGAGGGAAACGUGAAUGAGCACGAGGAGGGAAAUAAAGCCAUCCCCAGCCCAUGGCAGUUUCUUUGCUUUCUCACCGAAUGCCAUUACGACGGCUCCUCCACAAAGUCCUCUGUUUGCUGGCGUCACAGGCUCUGCGUCCCGUCCUUUCCCGGCUCCGUAUUUCCCCAAGAUGCACGGGCCCCGUGGU